rnacentral:lncRNA from 1 species
GCAGAGGAGUGGGGCGCGAGAUUCAACAGGUGGUCGUAGAGGAUCUCGACCGCGUCGACGGACUCCUGGAGCAGCGCGUCGGCCUCCUGGAGCGGCGCGCGGGCCUUCUCGAUCUGGGAGAUGCCCUCUCCCACCUCAGUAGCCACGGUCCGCCUGAGGCCCGCCGCUUCCGCCAGCGCCCACGGUAUUGCCACCGACUCCGCCAUCUGAUCUAGCAUCUGCACCGGCACAGCCAUCUCUCGAGUCGACUCUCUCUCUCUCCCUCUUCCUCUCAGCGUGUGUUGUGUUGUCUAAG